AAAAGAGAAACAAAAGAGAUAAUAAAAAUGUAAGGAAUUAUGAAAAAAUACAGAGCAUUGUAUGUAUACUAUACAAUAAUUUAUGCAUAAUAAAUAAUAUAUACAUAUAUAUAUUUGAUGCAAACAAUUUUUAAGUUAUGGAAUAUAUGUAAAAAUAUCAAGAGAGAAAAAGAAAUAAAAAGUGGACACUCAUUUAAUUUUAUAUCAAUAUUUUAUAAAAUGCUUAUACAUUUUUUUUAAAAAAUGCAAAAUAUUAUACAUACAUGCAUAUGUGCAUAUAUAUAUAUAUAUAUAUAUAUAUAUAAGCAUCAUUGUAAAGUCGUAUAUAUUAUACAUAAAAAAAUAAUUGUAAAUCAAAAAAUUUAAACAUAAGAAAAAUUUACGAGUUUACAUAAAUAUUUUAGGAUAGUAAUAAUUUGUAUAGAUUUGUAGUUUGUAAUAAAAGGAUAUUUAAGUUAGAAAUAUCAACUGUAUUUUUUUUUUUUUUUUUUUUUUUUGUUGUUCCUUUAAUUUGAAUUAUUUUAUUUUCCCUUAUUUCAUUCAUAAUUCAAUUCAUAAUUUAAAAAAAAAAAAAAUAAAAAAAUAUGUCAAACAUAGCUAAAGAACUUUUAAAAAAACAAUUUAUAGAACUCACAAGAGAUCAUAAUGCCGGUUUUUCUGUUGGUUUAGUUGACGAUUCCAAUUUUUUUGAAUGGAAUGUUUGUUUCGAAGGGCCUAAAAAUACUUUAUAUGAAGGUAAUAAAAAAUAAAUAACAAUUUUUAAGUACUAUAUAUGUAACAUAUAAAGUAGUAUGUAUCAUUUUUUUUUUUUUUUUGUUCAUUUCACCUAAGUGACUUUUGUGUUUCAUCCUUUUCUUUUUUUUUUCUCCUCACACUUAUAAAUAUUAACACAGAUGUAUAAAUAUAAGUAACUUUUUAUUUAAUAGUUAAAAAUUAUACCUAUAUGAAUUUUUUUUUUUUUUCUAACAGGGGGUAUAUACAAUGCAACUCUUACAUUUCCUUCUGACUUUCCUAACCAGCCACCACAAAU
rnacentral:lncRNA from 1 species